AUCUGAGAGGAAUAGUUUGUGUGAGGAGUUCGAGGUGGUCAGCGAAGACAAAGAACAAAUUGAAAGACUGUCACAUGGGGGUGGGAGGACAGGUAUGUUUUCCCCACACCAAGAGACCCUAAUUGUUGAUAUGGUUCGUGAGAACAAUGCCAUUAAACAGUGAAAUUCAGAAGAUCAUUGAGGAACAUGUACAUUUUGAGGGUAUCAACAGUGUCAGCCUCUCUACUGUUGAUCGUGUCCUCAAGCCCAACAGACUGCGCAUGAAACCGCUAUACAGAGUAUCCUUUGAUCGCAACUCCGACAGAGUCAAAGAGCAAAGAUUCCAGUAUGUACAGAGUGAUUUUCAACAGGAUGCAAUGGAAAGACCCCAUGAAUACAUCUGGGUUUAAUCUCACCAGAAGGAGAGAGGCCGUAAUGUGAUUGGCCAUCUGGCCAUUGUUGGUGUUCCUGGGCAGCGUGGUGGCAAUGUCACAUUAUGUGCUGCCAUCAGCAAUCAUGGGGUUGUCCACCAUCAUGCCAGCCUGGGGCCUCACCAGCUUGUCAUUUUCCUCAAUCACAUGAGAGAUGCUCUGUUAGGGCAACAGGAUGAGCAUCCCAUCUAUGUUGUUGUUUGGGACAAUGUGAGUUUUCACAGAGCCCUCCCGGUUAGAGUGUGGUUCAAUAUGAACCAAGGUUUUAUCAAUCUUUGCCUUCCACCGUAUUCUCCUUUCCUAAACCUUGUCGUCGUUGCUCGGCAACCGGAACAAAGAUUCUUCCUGUGCCGAUUAUGAUGGUUCCGGGAAAGAGGAUAUUGGAUGCAUACGGAUUGUAAAAACCUUUGUCAAAUUUUUGAUUUUUUGCUAUAUAAAAUAAAUGGAAUAUAU
ensembl:lncRNA